rnacentral:rRNA from 1 species
GACGAACGCUGGCGGCGCGCUUAACACAUGCAAGUCGAACGGAAAGGCCUGCUUUCCCUUGUGGAUUGCGGGUACUCGCGUGGCGAACGGGUGAGUAACACGUGAGUGAUCUGCCCCCAACUUGGGUAUAAGCCUGGGAAACUGGGUCUAAUUCCCGAUAGGACUGCAGGGUGGUGCCUGUGGUGGAAAACGAUUUUCUAGUGGUUGGGGAUGAGCUCGCGGCCUUUCAGCUUGUUGGUGGGGUAAUGGCCUACCAAGGCGGCGACGGGUAGCCGGCCUGGGAGGGCGGGCGGGCAAGGUGGAACUGAGACACGGCCCAGGAGAUAACGGGAGGACGCAGAGGGGAAGAAUGCGUGAUGAGCAGAAGCCUAAGGGAGCAACGCCGCGUGAGGGAUGCCGGCCGUGGGGUUGUAGACUCCUUUCGACCGCGCGGAAGCCACCUGGUUGGAAGGGUGGUGACGGUAGUGGUAGAAGAAGCACCGGCUAACUACGUG